rnacentral:lncRNA from 10 species
AUGGAUUUGUCAGCAGAACAAGAUUUAGAAGUGACAUCAGAGCAAGAGCCAGAAAGGCUUGAAGGAAGUGAAAAGAACAAGCCACAGGCUGAGGGAGAAAGGAAGAAGCAUGCAAAGAAUGAAACAGAAGCAUCAAGAAACCUACAUGAUGGCUCCACUGAUGACCAUAUUCAACAAGGAGAGAGUGGAGAAACUGACGGUCAGCAAAUCCCUAGGACAGAGCAUGAAGUGUGCGAUAGUAGUGUCCCUGCCUUGCAUAUGAAGAAAGUAAAGAAAAAUGAACAUGAAGAAUGGAUCACAACAGAAUCUGUGACUCUGCUGGUAUUUAAGAAGGCCGAUUUAAUAACUCAUGAUCUGCUGCAAGUGACUGAUGACAGCAGUUUAACUGAAAUAGAUGAGAAAGAAAGAAGGCUUACAAAGAAAACAUCUAAUGAGGACAAGGUCAGAAACCAAAUCCAUUCUAUAGAUGGCUUUGAUGACUUAACUUGGUCAUCUGAAAUAGCCUCAGAGUGUUGUGAGCUGCCUUACUCUAAUUACAAAAAGUUUAUAUUGCUCAUUGAAGAACUUGGCAUGGAUUGUAAAGAUCCUGUUAACCUACUGAAAAUUCAGGAUGCCAUUCAUUCAUGGGAAAGAUCAAUAGAAGUUGAAAAAAAUCACUGUAAACUACUUACAGAAAAAAUGAAAAAAAUGGAAAAUGAGGUCCAUGUACUACAAAAGGAGUUAUCUGAAACAAUAGAAAUAAAAUUACAGUUAGAACAUCAAAACGAUGAAUGGAAACGAGAUUUCUACAGUUUGAGAUCUGCCUUAAGACAAGAAGAAGAGAAGAGAAAAAAUGCUAACACAUUGUAUGAAAAAAUCAGGGGACACUUAAGAAGAAAAGAAGAGCAGUACAUGAAAGAAGUUGAAGCCAACAAACAACUUCAACUGACUCUGAGAACACGAGAUAUGGAAUUGAGGACAGUAAGAAAUAAUUUGGACCAGGUUGUACAAGAGCUGAGUGACACCCAGAGGCAACUUUCUCGAGAAAAGAAUGCCAGAAUAUUACAAGAUGAAAUCCUGACCAAUCACCUUUGCAAACAAAGGGAGAUAGCACUGGCUCGAAGGAAAAGGAGUUCUCAGAUGCUGCAGGAGUUUCAAGACAGUAUAACUGGAGAGCUACAAAAAGAUGCUGGUAAAUUUGAAUUGGAAUCAUAUGUGGUUCCUCAUCUAGGACCUACUAAUGAGUCAACUAUAAAUUAAGAUACAGUUUGGAAAUAUUAAGAAAUAUGUAUUGAUUUUAACCAGAAAUAUCUGAAAGAUAGCAAAAUGUCAUUAUUGGUCUGUUUACCUGACAUUUUGCUUCCCAUUAUGUAUAUGACAUGUGAAAAUCUUUAUUAAAGGAAAAUAUUUUUGUAUCAUGCGUGUCUGUUGAAAACUUACAUAGUAUUUAAAAUCAUGUUUCUUGGUCCUCUUGACUAACUCUCAAGUAGAUCUUACAAAUGAAAAUUAGUAUUAUUGGCCAGGCGUGGUGGCUCACGCCUGUAAUCCCAGCACUUGGGAGGCCGAGGUGGGUGGAUCAUGAGGUCAGGCGUUUGAGACCAGCCUGACCAACAUGGUGAAACCCUGUCUCUACUAAAAAUAUAAAAAUUAGCUGAGUGUGGUGGCGCGUGCCUGUAAUCCCAACUACUCAGGAGGCUGAGGCAGGAGAAUUGCUUGAAGCCAGGAGGCAGAGGUUGCAGUGAGCCAGGAUCAUGCCACUGCACUCUAGCUUGGGCAACAGAGCAAGACUACAUCUCAAAAAAAAAAAGAAAAGGGAAAAAAAAAAAAAAAAAAACCAACCAAACAAAAAAUAGGAAAGAAGAAGAAAAUUAGUAUUAUUGAGUUUUACAUACUCAAACUUUCAAAAUGCCAUCUGGUUAAACAGCCAAACAGCUAAGUUGUCAUUAAUACUUCAGUGGAGUUAAUUGAUGGUUUAUUCUUAUUUUAUAAUUUUUAUAUGGUGAUAGAUUUUGAUUUAGACACAUCCUUUCGACAUAUUGGUACUGUGGUCAUUGUCAACGUUUGGAUGUAUGUCAAUUGUUGUAGUGCCAUCAAACUUACGUAUUCUUGAUUUUAAGCACUGGUGUAUGUAGAUCUUUCUCCUGGAAAUAUAUGAAUUGCUUUAGGCUUUUCAUCUUUUCUACCUAUUUAUUUUUAUUUUUAUUUGUGAACUUUUGGGAAACACUCUUAAAAUUAUAGAAAAGUUCCAAGUUAUACUACAAAUAAUUAUCCCUCUGAACCAUGUGAGAGUAAAUUACUGGCAUUAGGCCAGCACUCCUGAUUACUUUAGUAGGUAUUCCCACAAGUCAGGAAACUCUACAUAACUACAAUACAAUCUUAAUAAUCAGUAAGUUAACUUUACUACAUCGUAUCAUUCAAUCUUCAGCUUCUUUUGAGCUUUGAUUGUCUGUCAUGUCCUUUAUAGCAGACGGAUCCCAUUCAGACCCAUGGAUUGCAUUUAGAUGUGUGUCUCUUACACUCCUUCAGUCUGGAACAGUUCCUCAGGUUUCCUUGACUUCAUGACUUUGAAUCUUUUGAAGAGUAAAUUUCAGAGUAUAGAAUAUCUCUCAGUUGUCUUUUCCUGGUGUUUCAUUAUGAUGAGAUUUAGAUUGUAUUAUUUUUGGCAAGAGUACCUCAGUGAUGAUCCUGGGAUCUUCUCGUUGCAUCCUACCAUAUAACCUAUAAUUUUCAUUUGUCUUAUUACUGGUGACAUUAGCUUUGACAAUUAAUGAUGGUAUCUGCUGGAUUUCUUUUCUGCAGUGUUACUUUUUCAUCUUGUAAUUAAUUGAUAUAUUGUGGGGAGGUAAUUUAAGACUAUGUAAAUAUCUCUGUUCCUCAUAAAAUCUUCAAUUUAUUCAUUUACUUAGAUCAACAUGGUUGCAUGGUUUAUUUCAUGCAAUGGGAUAUAAUUUGUUGAUAUUUUUAAAAAUUUGUUUUUCUUCUUAGACAUGUUUUGUUUUGACAAUUUCAGACUUAAGGAAAAAUUAUAAAAAUAGUACAAAGAAUCCUUGGGUCUCAUUCCCCAAAUGUUAACAUUUUACUGCAUUUGCUUUACUUAUUCACCCACUUUUCUUCUUCUCUUUCUAAAUAAAUAUAAAUUUAGGUACAUAAUAUAUAUUUCUCUUCCUGAACCAUUUGUUAGUCACAGACAUGAUGCCUCUUUAUUUCUAAAUACUUUCCUAUUUCCUAAAAAGAAGAAAUUUUCUUACAUAACUAUGAUUAUCAUUAUCAAAAUCAGAAAAUUGAAAUUGAUUCAAUAUUAAUAUCUAAUUGACAGACCUUAUUAAGAUUUUGCCAGUUUCCCCCAUAAUAUCCUUUAUAGCCAAAGAAAAUCCAAGAUGGGGGAUUUUCACAUUCAAUGAUGUGCUGGGUCCAAUUGUCCUCUUUCUUUGUUCUCCUUUAAUCUGGGACUGUUUUUGAGCCUUUCUUUGAUUUUCGUAACAUUCAUGGUUUUGAAGAGUAUGGGUCAAUUAUUUAUGGCUUUUCUCUCUGUUUGUGUUCAUGUGAUGUUUCCUCAUUAUUAGAUUAAGAUUAUAUCAUUCAGGCAGGAAUGUCACACAGGUGAUGCUGACUUCUUCCCAAUACAACUUAUCUGGAGACUUAUGGAGCAUAUCUGGAGGCUGUCAGUUGGUUUCAUUGCUGGACAGUGUUGACUUUGCUUCUUUGGUUAAGGAGUAUCUGUCAGGUUUGUCCAUGGUAAAGUUACUGUUUACCUUUUGUAUUUCACUGAUAUCUUGUGUGACAAUACUUUGUGGCUCUAUAAAUAUCUAGUUACACCUCAAAAUUUCACCCACUAGAUUUAGUAUUGCAUUGAUGAUUUUUUUUUUCUUUUUCUUUGCUGUUCUUUUUUUUUUUUUUUUUUUGAGACAGGGUCAUGCUCUGUACCCUAGGUUAGAGUGCAGUGGCACAAGCUCAGCUCACUGCAGCCUCAGACUCCCUCCUGGGCCCAAGCGAUCCUCUUAUUCAGCCUCCCAAACAGCUAGGGUGUUGCUAUUGCCUAGGCUGGUCUCAAGCUCCUGGGCUCAAGGGAUCCACCCA